rnacentral:lncRNA from 1 species
CCUAGCUCUUAGUUUUAGUUAUAUAAUUCUCCAGGGAAACCUGGUUGGUUAUUUUGUCUGUGAGCACAUGUGUGCUGUAUGUGUGUUAUUGAGAGAUUGUGUUUGUGAUCACUUGUUUGACUUUCUUGACAUGAUUUACUGUUUGAUUUUUUUAUUUUUCAGUGUAGAAAUAGCAUAUGUGAAUAUUACUUUCUUUCCAGAUUGGAAGCAGUAUGUGAAAAUGGUACCCCUUGUUUCAUUCUUAUUCAGAUAGUAUGUCUGCUUGGUUUCUAAAGAGAUAAUUGGCUUUCUCUGCUCAGAUUAUGUUCAUUUAUAAUGAAUAUUGGGCUUGCUUUUAUGUUGACCUUUGUCCUGUAAGUUAGUUUUCCUUUAUUCUGACAGAUGGUUUUGUCGAGUACAGGCAAGGUUCUUUUCUAUAUUUCCAUUUCCCCCUCUUCUCUGCAUCUGUUUUUUUCUGU